UGGCUUGUGGCUUAUGAAAGUCUUUCGUUCAAGAAAAAAGAGUAUAGCUGGUAAGAAGAAGAAGUAGUGCCUCUCGUCAAGGUAAACUGUGUACCUCUCCUCCAUCAUUUUCGUCUUUUUCUUUCUGAUUUCCUUUUUGUCUCGGUGGCUUUCGAUUUCAUCUUUGUCUCUCUAAUUUUAUUUCUUUCGAUUUCAAUUUCAAUUUCGUCUCCUUGCUUUUAACGUUCAUGCCCUAUGAGCGCUGGAUUGUGCCGUUGGAGGAAGACAUUCUUUCUUUUUUGAUUUCAUCGUUCUCCCUGAAAUCAGAAUCGAGCUUGGAAUGUUUUGUGCACACAAGGGUGACAACUCAGAACUACCACCAGUAUCGGCACGUGGAGAAACAAAGGUGGAAGCUAGGAUGGAUAUGGGCUAAGAGUGAAGUGAUAUGGUCAAUAAGGCUAUAGCAACUGACAGAGGGAAUUGUUAAUCUUAUAGUGGCUCUCAUACGUAAACUGUCAGAUGUUCUCAAGACCACCUGAAGAUGAAGAAAAUAUCAACCAAGAAGAAAUUGUCAACCAAUAAAUCUUCUACAUGGGGACAUGUAGUUACACCUGCAGCUCAUCAUCAAUCUCAUUCAGGAGACUUGAAGAUGAACUUUUCAACCUCAAGUAAGUCUAAGUCAAAACUUGAAGUGAGUACUCAUUCUUAAUUACCUAGUACUCAACCUCCAAGACUUGAAGUACAAAUUCCAACCCCAAUUACAACUCAAGCAAAUAUUCAACAAGGUUCUUCAUUUUCAUUUUCCCCUCCACUUCCAUCUGCAUCUCAAGCAAGUAUUCAACAAGGUCCUAAAUAUGCUUGUCCUCCACCUCCAUCUGCACCUCAGCCAAGACCUUGAAAGUGAGGAUAUCUUGAACUAGCCAACCCCCAAUUGCACCUCAAUCUAAUCCUCAGCCACCACAUCAAUCUUUUCCUGUAUUUGAACCAAUAAUACCAACUACAUCACAUUCAUAUUCUGAAAAUGAAGAGGAAGAAAAUGAGGAGACUGAGUUGCAAGUAGUUGAACAAAGGCCUGUAACCCGAAAAAGACCAUGGUUUGUUAAUGUGAUUGAUGAUCAAGGAAAGAGAAUUACAAAACAACUACGAACCAAUAAUGUGUGGCAUUUACCUCCUAAUGAAAGGAUUGUUGUGCAGUGGAAUAAUGAGGGCCAACCAAUUGCAGAUGGUGGAGCAUUAUUGAAUAGGUUCUUAGGUAGCAUUGCAAGAAGCUCUAAUUCUCUUCCCAUUAGCUAUUCUAGUUGGAAGAAGAUUCCUAAAGAGAGUUGCCUCGUGAUUUUACUAUGCAUCAUGCACCAACGGUAUCUGAUCAAGGAAGUAUUCCUAAUGAAGAAACAAAUAAUCAACAUCAAGCCCCGCAUUAGACGAUAUUAUUCGUUUACUUUUAGAAUAUGUCAACAAAUAUGCCUCUAGGAAACUUUUGGUUAAUUAUGCUAAUGGGGAACAACUAUGAUUUCCUUUUACAUUUUGGUUCAUUGGUCCACUUGCUUAUUAUGUCAUUAUCAUUCAAAUGCUACCUCUCCAACACUUAUUAUAUUAAGAGCAUUAUGACUCCUAGUCCACUACUAGUACUAUUUGAAUGAAUAUUUGUAUUGAUUGUUUAUUUUGAAGUGA